GCCGCGGUGGUGGAAUGGCAGACACGCAGGACUUAAAAUCCUGUGCCCCAAAGGCGUGAGAGUUCGACUCUCUCCCGCGGCA
rfam:Candidatus Roizmanbacteria bacterium RIFCSPLOWO2_02_FTLL_41_9 rifcsplowo2_02_scaffold_6677, whole genome shotgun sequence.